AGCAUCCAAGAAGCUCCUUACCUCUCCAAUUCCCACGGGUCCAUGCAAAAAUCAGAAUUCUCACCUCACUUUACACUCUUUUCUCUUAAGGAAAGAGCUAGGAAGCUCUCUUUAAGUUCCCUUUGUCAAACCCAUGAGUCCACACAUCCAAAGAAAGACAAAGCCCCACUCCAAAGUCCAUUUCCCUUAUCUUUUCUUGGCUGCUCCAGAGGGUUUAGCUCCUAUUCUUCUUUCUCUAUUCUUCUUUCUUCUUUUGUUGUUCUUGUCGACAGCACCUCUUUCACCAAUAGCCCUCCCUCUCUCACUGAAACCAUAUAUCUCACCCUAAGGAAGAAAUUAAAAGAUUAUCCCUAAGAUUUCAACUUCAAAGUUUGUGGAGAAAACAGAAGAGAGAGAGAGAGAGGGAGGGAGAAAGAACGCAGCAAAGAGAGAGAGGGGGAGAAAGCCGGUGGAGAUAAAGUGUCACCGGAAGGACAAAGCCGGUGAAGAUCAGCGUUCACCAAGUAGCAGCACCUCGUCCGCCUCCCCACUACUGCUAUUCCUCCUCCCCACCACCGGACGAGAUUAUCAUGCAUGGGUGGUGGUGAAAAUUUAUUCAAGUGGCAUUUUCCAUGACAUAAUUCCCAAAUAGCAAGCAGUUCCAUCUAGUGUAAAUUCUCACGUAGUGAGUUCCCUUUCUUGAUGUAAAUUCCUGCAUACUCAACAGCCCUUUUUUUUUUUUUUUUUUUUUUUUAAUGUAAGUUCUCACAUUCACAUAUUUUUCUAUCCCUUGUGGGAGGUAUAGAUCUAUAUUUCCAUCCACUUCUAACCCUUGUUGGAGAGAUAGAUGCAUAGUUUCCACAUUCACACAUGCACUCAGAUCUACAUUGUUUUCAAAACGCCUCAUAUCGACAUUUUGGCAGCACGUUCAGCUUUUGCACAACUUGGUGAUUUAGAUUUGGGGAGUUGGAUCCAUGAAUAUAUCAAGAUGGUUAGACUAGAGCAUUCUACAAGUUUGAAGAAUUCACUAGUUGAAAUGUACUCUAAAUGUGGAGAUAUAGACAUUGCUCUUGGAGUAUUUGACGACAUAUCCAAAAGAUGUUGUCUCUUGUAAUGAUAUGACCCAAGUACUUGCUCUUCAUGGCAUUGUUGAGAAGGCUUUGCCUCAAUUCCAUUUGAUGACAAGGACAUGCAUUCAACCAUA